rnacentral:tRNA from 1 species
CUGAACAGGCGGGCCUCGAUCCCGCC